GAUGAAGAACUUAGCGAAAUGCGAUACGUAGUGUGAAUUGCAGAAUUCAGUGAAUCAUCGAAUCUUUGAACGCACAUUGCACCUCUCGGUAUUCCGGGAGGUAUGCCUGUUCGAGCGUCAUUUGUACCCUCAAGCUCUGCUUGGUGUUGGGUGUUUGUUCCGCCUCUGUGUGUGAACUCGCCUCAAAACAAUUGGCAGCCGGCGUACUUGUUUCGGAGCGCAGCACAUUUUGCGAUCCAGAUCAACGUACAGCGGCAUCCAAGAAGCCUUAUUUAACGCUCUUGACCUCGGAUCAGGUAGGGAUACCCGCUGAACUUAAGCAUAUCAAUAAGCGGAGA
rnacentral:misc_RNA from 1 species